CAAAUGGUUUUUUUUAAAACCAUACUCAUGAACACUCAAGGAGUUG
rfam:Solanum lycopersicum cultivar Heinz 1706 chromosome 11, whole genome shotgun sequence.